AAGGGACCUAGCGUAGUUCGGAAUUACUGGGCUUAAAGAGUUCGUAGGUGGUCGAAAAAGUUAGUGGUGAAAUCCCAGAGCUUAACUCUGGAACUGCCAUUAAAACUUUUCAGCUAGAGUAUGAUAGAGGAAAGCAGAAUUUCUAGUGUAGAGGUGAAAUUCGUAGAUAUUAGAAAGAAUACCAAUUGCGAAGGCAGCUUUCUGGAUCAUUACUGACACUGAGGAACGAAAGCAUGGGUAGCGAAGAGGAUUAGAUACCCUCGUAGUCCAUGCCGUAAACGGUGUGUGUUAGACGUUGGAAAUUUAUUUUCAGUGUCGCAGCGAAAGCGAUAAACACACCGCCUGGGGAGUACGACCGCAAGGUUAAAACUCAAAUGAAUUGACGGGGACCCGCACAAGUAGUGGAGCAUGUGGUUUAAUUCGAAGAUACGCGCAGAACCUUACCAACACUUGACAUGUUCGUCGCGACUCUAAGAGAUUAGAGUUUUCGGUUCGGCCGGACGAAACACAGGUGCUGCAUGGCUGUCGUCAGCUCGUGUCGUGAGAUGUUGGGUUAAGUCCCGCAACGAGCGCAACCCUCACUUUUAGUUGCCAUCAUUAAGUUGGGCACUCUGAAAGAACUGCCAGUGAUAAGCUGGAGGAAGGUGGGGAUGACGUCAAGUCCUCAUGGCCCUUACGUGUUGGGCUACACACGUGCUACAAUGGUAUCUACAACAGGAAGCAAGACUGCGAAGUUAAGCAAAUCCCUAAAAGAUACCUCAGUUCGGAUUGCACUCUGCAACUCGAGUGCAUGAAGCUGGAAUUACUAGUAAUCGUGGAUCAGCGUGCCACGGUGAAUGCGUUCCCGGGUCUUGUACACACCGCCCGUCACACCAUGGGAGUUGGUUCUACCUUAAGGCAAGGUUUCAAACCCUUGACCACGGUAUAGUCAGCGACUGGGGUGAAGUCGUAACAAGGUAGCCGUA
rnacentral:rRNA from 1 species